AGAGUUUGAUCAUGGCUCAGGAUGAACGCUAGCUACAGGCUUAACACAUGCAAGUCGAGGGGAAACGACAUCGAAAGCUUGCUUUUGAUGGGCGUCGACCGGCGCACGGGUGAGUAACGCGUAUCCAACCUGCCCAUCACUUGGGGAUAACCUUGCGAAAGUAAGACUAAUACCCAAUGACGUCUCUAGAAGACAUCUGAAAGAGAUUAAAGAUUUAUCGGUGAUGGAUGGGGAUGCGUCUGAUUAGCUUGUUGGCGGGGUAACGGCCCACCAAGGCGACGAUCAGUAGGGGUUCUGAGAGGAAGGUCCCCANACUUGGAACUGAGACACGGUCCAAACUCCUACGAGAGGGCA
rnacentral:rRNA from 1 species